GCCUGUGGUGCCAGCUACUCAGGAGACUGGGGCGGGGGGUGGCUUGGGGCCAGAAGUUCUGGGCUAAGGUGCGCUACGCUACGCUGAUCGAGUGUCCGCACUAAAUUGAGCACCAACACGGUGACCUCCCAGGAGCAGAAGGCCACCAGGCUGCCUAAGGCCAGGUGAAUGCAGGCUAAGUCACAGAUGCAGCAGGUCAAAACUCCCAUGCUGAUCAGUGGUGGAAUCACAUGUGUAAAUAGCCACUGUAGUCCAGCCUGGGUAACACGGCGACAGCAAGACCCCAU
rnacentral:SRP_RNA from 1 species